UAAUACGGAGGGUCCAAGCGUUAUCCGGAAUCAUUGGGUUUAAAGGGUGCGCAGGCGGUUUAAUAAGUCAGUGGUGAAAUCUCGAGGCUUAACCUCGAAACUGCCAUUGAUACUGUUAAACUUGAGUUCAGUUGGAGUAGGCGGAAUGUGUAGUGUAGCGGUGAAAUGCUUAGAUAUUACACAGAACACCGAUAGCGAAGGCAGCUUACUAAACUGAUACUGACGCUGAGGCACGAAAGCGUGGGGAGCGAACAGGAUUAGAUACCCUGGUAGUCCACGCCGUAAACUAUGAUUACUCGAUAUUGGCGAUAUACUGUCAGUGUCUAAGCGAAAGUGAUAAGUAAUCCACCUGGGGAGUACGGUCGCAAGAUUG
rnacentral:rRNA from 1 species